AAAGGUUUCCUUUUAAUCACGAUAUUUGGAACCAUUCUCUAGUAAUAUAAAUAAAAAUUGUGAUUCAUUAGUAUCUCUUUUGUAUAUCUUAGAUGUAUAAGGCUUUUAAAAAAAUAAUUACGAAUAAAUAUAUAAAUUCAUACUUAAGUAUAUGCUUUAUUUUCGUAUUCCAAAAAUAAAAAAAUUGGAAGAGAAUACAAUUUUCAGGAGGAAAUUGACAAAAUUGAUUUUGGUGGAUAAAAUAGAGGCUGCAACUUUCUUUGGGGAGGGCAAUCUAAUACUAUUUCCGAUUAAAGAAAAGCAAGUUGGGUCCCGGUAAGACCAACAAAAACCUUAAAUACAGUCAUUGAAUAGGCACGUGAUAUGGAACAAUUGUUGUUGGGUGAAUUUUCAUGCAAAAACGCUUUGCAUGUGAUAUCGGGACCCACACAAUUAGCAUUUGUUUCUUUCUCUUUUCUUAUUUCAGUUAUAAUAUCCACCUUGGCAACGAACUGAUUUUAUUUUGUGUCUCACGUAAUUUAUGCUAGUUGUGUAAGACUUUUUUUACUUUAUAUAUUUAUGGGCUUAUAUCUUAUAUAUUUGGAUUUACAAAAUCUUGGAACAUAUAAUUAUGAGAUAAAAAAAAGACCUCGCAUAAUUAGUAUCAAUUGUGCGAGGCACAAAAUAAAAAUUUUCCUAGCCAACCUACCACGUUGUACUGUCCACUACUUCAUUUUCUAUUAAAAAGCAACUUUGGUGCAUAAAAGUAUUUUGCAUUCGUGCAAAAUUCGGAAAAGAACCGUACCUCUAAACGUAUAAUGUAGACAGUAAAUUUUAAUACAAAAUAUUAUUUUUAUUGUUUGUACUCAUGAUUUAUGGGUCACAUGAAAGUUCCCUACGUGACUUGACACGUUGGAGAGGGCUCCCAUAUGACUUGGCUUCCCAUCUAUCCAAGGUAAGUGAUAUAUAAUUUCUUUCGAUGAAAAUUUAGGAAUAGUAGAUUUUAAAAGAGUAUAUUUUAUACAUGUAUACGCAAGCAUGAAAAGAUUUCGGAAUAUAUUUGCAAAUUGAGAUAAAAGUAAUACUUUCAGUUGAACCAUCUACUCUUACCCUAGAAUUCUCCCUUAAGAUUUGAUUGCUUUCCAUUUAGGCUUAGGCUUCAAGUUUCAACAAACAAGAUUAUUAUACAAAAAUAAAAUAAUAUAUUCAACGAAGCAACAAAUAAGCAAAUAACUUGAUGUUAGAUAGAUCAUAAAAUCUACUGUAUUACCGUUGAAAUGGUUCAGAGUCACUUGCGUAGAGAAAAAAUCGAGAAAUGAAUAAUGCUUCAAUAGCUAAGUCUAUAUAUAUAUAUAUAUACAUAUAUAUAUUGAGGGACAUCAAAGAGGUGACGUGGCAUUCUCUAAAAUCAGAAUUUAUAUUUAUCUUUUUUCUCAAUUUUUUUUGUUAUUUUCUCCUUAUUUUGACUUAUGUGAUAUUUCUAAAAACUACCUCUGCAACGUUUACUCCACACUCGAGACCGAAAAGUCACGUCUAUUACACAACAAUUUAAAGAAGAUUUUUCAUUCCUUCUAACUAAAUCAGUGUGUUAAUUUAUAUCUGCUUCGAUUAUGUUGUCCCUUUCGGUUUGAUUCUUUCAUAGAAGCUUUUGCUAUUUAAUUUAUAUCUCUAAAUUAGGAUGUUUGAUUAUAUUAAGUUAAGAUAUUGCUAUUACUUGUGGGUUUUAAUUAACUUUGUUUGUCCCUUUCGGUUUGAUCUUUCGUAGAAAUUUUUGCUUUUUAAUUUAUAUUAAAUUAGGAUGUAUCAUUAUAUAGAAUUAAGAUAUUGCUUUACUAAUGAGUUUUAAUUAAUUUUGUUCUAUUGUGUUUGAUAUAUUUUCACA
rnacentral:lncRNA from 1 species